AUUGAACGCUGGCGGCAUGCCUUACACAUGCAAGUCGAACGGUAACGGGCCUUCGGGUGUCGACGAGUGGCGGACGGGUGAGUACUACAUCGGAACGUGCCCGAUCGUGGGGAUAAGGAGGCGAACGCUUUGCUAAUAUCGCACCCGCACUACGGAUGGACGCAGGGGCCGGUAAGGCCUUGCGCGGACGGAGUGGCCGAUGGCCGUUUAGGUAGUUGGCGGGGUAAAAGCUUACCAAGCCGACGAUCGGUAGCUGGUGUGAGAGGAUGAUCAGCCACACUGGGACUGAGACACGGCCCAGACUCCUACGGGAGGCAGCAGUGGGGAAUGUUGGACAAUGGGCGCAAGCCUGAUCCAGCCAUGCCGCGUGCAGGAUGAAGGCCUUCGGGUUGUAAACUGCUUUUGUACGGAACGAAAAGCCUUCUUUUAAUACAGGAGGGUCAUGACGGUACCGUAAGAAUAAGCACCGGCUAACUACGUG
rnacentral:rRNA from 1 species